AUUCCCCAUAAUGCCGGCUAUGUAGACAGCUUGUGAAAAUGGAAUCUAAAUGCUCACAAGAAAUGACAAAAGCAGUAUGAAGAUUAACACAACGAAAUUGUGCCAGAAAAGUUUGAAGUAGCUAUGGGAAUGAUCAACAUUGAACUUGCUGAGGCUCUCUUCCUGAAAGUGACUUGACCAGAUAUUUGGCUACCCAGUAUGAGUAUCUUUCUGCUACAUUAAAUAAAAUAUUGUGGAGGAACACGAAGAAAAAGGCUGCGCACCUCAACAUAUUUAAGGUCAAGCAGCUUUUUACCAUAUCCAUAGUAUCUUGCUGCUAAAUGAAAGAAUUAGUGUGGAGGAGCAGAGAAAAGGGCACCUCAACAUGUUCAAGGUCAAGCAGAAAUUAGGAGCUAGGUGUGCUUCUCCAGAGCUAAAAACUUCUUGGCAUGAAGAGAAGAAGAAGCAAGAAAAAGCAGUUUUAAAUAUUGAUUACAUCUUCAUAGUACAAAAAAUGAUUCUAAAGAUAAUACUAUCUAUGAAAUUAGAAAGCUGAAGUUGUGUUCUGAUGAAUGUGAGAAUGUCUUCAAAGAACAGGACACCAAAAGUGCCAUUCUCAAA